GAAAAGCUGAGGAAGUGGGAAAUCUGUGGCUGGAGCUCAGCAGAUUGCAACACUUCUACAUCAAGAAAAUGUGGCAAUAAGGCUGCCAAACCCUCCUGUCUUCUGAACCGAAUCCUUGUAGAUUCUGGAUAUCGCACCUUCAUAGGAAUAUUCUGAGAAUAUUUUCUCCUAUUCGCUUCCAGGAGCCGUCGUAGCAGCCGAUUAGGACUGGCUGCUGGUGUGGUGAUGACCUAGAGGGCUUCUCCCAGAGUCUCGCUCUGUGGCCCACGCCUGAGUUCAGUGGUGUGAUUUCCGCUCCCUCCAACCUCUGCCUCCUGGGUUCAAGCGAUUCUCCUGCCUCAGCCUCCUGAGUAGCUGGGAUGACAGGCAUGAACCACCACGCCCCACUGUUUUCGUAUUUUUAGUAGAAACGGGGUUUCACUAUGAUGGCCAGGCUGUGAAUUGCCUAUUCUUAUCUUCUGCACAUUUGUCUAUUGUCGGUCUUUUUCUCGUCGAUUUACAAGCAUUCCUUUUUUCAUUCUGAAUAUUAAUCCAUUGCUUUCUGAUGCUGUAACUAAGUCCUCCUAGUGGUUUGUCUUCUUGGUUAAGCCAGAUGUUAACUUGGAUUUUUCCUGCAUAAAACUGAAGACUCAAGAUGCAUCAAGCACUGUAUACAGAAAAGUGCUGCGUAUCCUACAGAAAGCUACAGACAGUUGGGGGUCAGAAUCAUUCGGAUUGUUUCAAGUUUGGGGCUAUUAUAAAUAAAGCUGCUAUAAACGUUUGCACACAGGUUUCUGUGAACAAAAAUUUUCAUUUCAACCAACUAAUGUUUACGGUUCAAUCAUGAUUUCACAACUUGAAGUAACUUUCACUCUUCUCAUACUAAAUUUGAUAUGUCGUCCACUGUUAAACUAUUUCUUACCCUCAGAUUAUAAUUAUUAAACUUUUUUUUUUUUUUUUGAGAGGGAGUUUUGCUCUUGUGGCCCAGGCUGGAGUGCAAUGGCAAAAUCUCGGCUCACCGCAGACUCCGCCUCCCGGGUUCAAGCCAUUCUCCUGCCUCAGCCUCCCGAGUAGCUGGGCUUACAGGCAAGCCAUGCGCCACCAAGCCCGGCUAGUUUUGUAUUUUUAGUAGAGACGAGGUUUCUCCAUGCUGGCCAGGCUGGUCUCGAACUCCCGACCUCAGGUGAUCCGCCCGCCUUGGCCUCCCAAAGUGCUGGGAUUACAGGCGUGAGCCACCGUGACCGGCCUAAUCAUUAAACUUCUUUCAGCACUAGCCCCACUGAUGUCACAACUUCACCCAUUAGUCAAUAACUUGUCUUUGCUGAAUUCGACACUUUUGAAUCAUUUAAAAAAUAUUCUCUUAAAUUUUAUGUGCUAUUUGCAAUGUAACGGUUGUCGACAUGACAGUUUUAAGUUUAAUCUUUAUCAUCAACAUUUUCUCUAUCACUUUCUUCAGUUUAAGCAAUCAACAAAACCACCGCUCCAGCACUGAUUUGUAGCAUUUGCGGGUUUCCCCCGUGUGACUUCCGCAGGACUGCCAAGUUCAAGCCGCCAGGGCCAGGGCACUGCUAGCAGCUGGGCUGAGCCCUGUUCUCCCGGCGUUCCCACCGCCCAGUGGCAAUAGCUGUGAACGGCGGCAGGAGCAUGGCAGUGGAACAAUAAGGAAAAGAUCUUUUAAAAAAAAGAUAUAAUACAGAAGCCAAGCAAGGCGGCCCCGACCUGUAACCCCAGCACUCUGGGAGGCAGAGGCGGGCGGGCGGAUCGCUUGAGCCCAGGAGUUUGAGACCAGCCUGGCCAACAUAGGAAGGCCUCGUCAAAAAGACAAAAGGGUAAAACGAAUUUAAUAAAAUGAAGUUUAACUUUUACUCAUGUUUGUAUCUAAUGACAAGCUUUUAAAACUGAAAAGUUCACUACUGGCUCCUGCCUGGCGGCUCCAGCCCGACUGGGGGCCGGGGCCUCCCUGCAC
rnacentral:lncRNA from 10 species